UCAGCCAAAACACGGUUAAAAGUUUAAAACACGGAAAAUAGCCAUGUUUUCAGAUUCAGGCAGUGCAGAUGCUUUGAGUCCAGAAUCCAUCUCUAUGCCUUCUGAUUUCCUGAAACUCAAGCAUCCAUCUUCCUUCUCUCUUCCAAGCUCCAGCAACCCAAAUCUUCUUGGCCGUCAACCACGCCUGCCACAGCCAUCACCGCCACCAACCGUCGUCGACCACCAUCUCUUUCCCUCUUCUAGAUCUGAGCAGAUCUGACUCCAUCUCGGCCAUGGAUCGCUCAUCUCUUCCUUGUUGGCCGUCGAUCGCGACUCUCUUCUUCUCUUCCAGCCUUCGUCGACUCCCUAUCUUCCUUGUUGGUCGUCGCAGCACCUUCCACCGCCAUCGCUGUCGCCGCACGUUGUUGCCACCAGCAACCCAGAUUCGCAACGCCUCGCCUUUGCCUAUGCCGGUCGUGUCUUCUUCCCCGUCGCCUACGUCAUUCGUCACUUCCUCCUAUGGAUCUUGUCUUCAGAUCUCAAGGUAAGCUACUGAAAAUAUAAUCUCAAGUUUUAUGCUUGUUGUAAAGAGGAUCUAAAAGCCUUUUUCCUUAGGUCAUAGCUAUUGCUACAACUUUAUGUUGAUUAGUUAUCCUGUAAUACAUAUCAAAUAUUAACAAGCUUUGGCAAGUGCAUCCCUUGCUCUUGCAUCUGCAUUUUGACAUAUUAUUGCCAAAACUAAGUUGUUCAUGUUCUUUUUAUUGGCAUCAUUUCUUAACUUCGGAGUCUCCUUAGACCUAUUAUUAUCUUUUUGUGUUACAUUAGUUUUCUUGAUUAGUACACAAGUAAUGUCCUUGGGUGGGUAAAUAGACUUGGUUGCCAGUCAAUCGGAAUCAUAGCCAACUUGCUUCCUUCGUAAGGGCUCCACUUCACUAAAAAUGUUAUUGGUAGUGUAAUCAUUGAUAUACCUUGCCGAAGGUCAAUAGGGAAGUAGGAAAAGAAUCUGAUUGGAUGUUUUUAUUAGCAGUAGUUGAUUACAUUAGUUAUCCUAUUAAAUAUCCUCUUUCUCUGUCUUGCAUUAGGUAUUGUGUGAUGUAUUCCUGCAGAGGGAAGGCUCUUAUAAGAAUGCAUGUUUAUCAGUUUUGAUUAGGCAUACGAAUCAUGUUUUCUGAUCAUUAACACCUUUUUGUGGUCAACUUCUGUGAUCUAGUUAUCUUUUUCUGCCAUGUGGGUUUCUUACCAUAUUUUUUGCCCGAGUCUUGCUUCUUUAAGAUUCAAUUAUUGAUCCUUGUUUAUGUGGUUAAAUCAUUUUUACUUAAAUUUUGUCUAAUUUGUGCUAUAUUCACAUUCUUAUUGACCCUUGUUCAUUUUUCUUUCAUCUAUUUUACUUUCUUGUUCCUAUUUCUAUUUCUUUUUCUUCUUUGUUCUUUUUUUUGGGGAGGGGGGGCGGGGUGGUGGUGGGAAAGGGUUGUUGGGGGCAGAGUUUAGAUAUUUAUUUUUAAUUUUGUUGUUUCUUGUUUCACAUGUCAACAUUUUGGUAACACCUUCAUGUAUAUGGUAAUUUUUUAUUUUUCAGUUAAAAACUAUGAAUACAUGGAUUAUUUGUGUACUCAUAGGGGUAUGCUUGCCCAAAUAGGAAAUGACAGUGUGUUUGGAGAUAUGCAUACUUGACAAAAGAAUAAAAAGUACCUACUAAAAAAUAUCAGGAUGAUUAGGACACAAGUUUCACCCUAAUAUAUGUGUAUCUAUAUAUCUGUUGUAUGAGCGGAUCAUCAAAGUUCCACCUAGGCUCCACCAGACAUAGACAGACUUAAUUUCUUGUUGUCUAAGUGAGUAGAUAGAAUAUACCAUGUUUUUCUCUUAUUUUCUUGCAUCUUAUUUUAAUUUAUUACUUGCUUUAUCUUAAUUACUUAUGAACAUAUUGCUGAAAUGAUUUGAAACUCGUGAAUUGUUUACAUCUUACUAUUGAAAGAAAUUACUGGCAUGUACUUACUUAUACACUACUUACUGAUACCAUUAUAUGUACUGUUUAUCAAUUUCUAAUUGUUGAUUAUUGAUUACUAUAUAUAUAUAUAUAUAAUGAUACUGGUACUAUUUGUCUACUUUAUUGCAUACAAUUGUCUAUAAAUAUUAUUUACAAUUGAUGAUCAUUAAAGUUUUAUGAAUUAUUAGGCUGUAAACAUAAAAAUGUUUAGAAUGCAGGCUGCAUUAUAAUUACCCAUUUUCAAACAUAUUUAUUUUCCCUUUGACUAUCUAAUAACCUCUUUUUUCAUAUUUUGAAUGGCAAUAGCCAUCUUAAUCCACAUACUUAGAGACAUACUGUCAAAUUACAUUUGCUCUAGUGCACAUAUCAUCCUUUAGGGACCCUGAAAAAAUGUUUUGAGUUUCUUCUUGUUUUCCCCUAUCAUCCCUUCCAAUUCUUUUGGGCUUGUCUGCUAUGAAAUGUAAUUUGGUAUUCCAACUACUGCUACACUCAACUUAACAUAUAAGGAAUACAUACUUGUUAGACACUGAUUUUGCUUGAAAUAUUAUCUUAUAUUAGCUUUUAUUAUUCUUAUAUAGUUAACCUAUUAUGUAUUGCAAAUCUCUAGUGGCCGGAGAAUGGAAAUUAAUAUUCCAGUGUUGUAGUGAUGAUAAACUCAUGAGUCAUGACUGGUUGACACAGUGCUCGCAACACAUGAGUCGUGACCUAUUUUGUAGUGAAAUUACGCAACACAAUCUAACAAUUUACAACUAAAAUAUCUACUUUGUCAAUGACACAUUAAAUAAUUUAUUAAAAUAUUAGAAAUGAACUGAAUAACUUUAAUGGUGUUGCAUUUUUUCCUCAUGUUUGUUUUUGUUUUCCUUUUCUUUUCCUUGAUCUAGGGGUGGGUCUAUCAAAUUAUGAUGUUAAAUUAUUUUUCAUGUCGUGUGGAGUAUAUUUUUCAUGUUGGCUUCAUAUUUUUUUUAUCUUCAAUAUAGAACAUGGGUGGUCACACAGGUAAGACUAAGGAAUCAAUGUCAUGGUCUGAUGAGAACGAACACGCAUUUAUCGGUAUUCUUUACGAGAAUGUGAAAUCAGGGAUAUUACAAUGUUCUACAUUCACGAAAGAUGAUUGGGGCAAGAUCAAUCAAGCCAUGAUUACUCUCACAAAAAUGGAUUACGGCAUAGAUAGAUUAAAGGGGAAAUGGAACCAUUUACGUAAGGUACAUCGCUUAUUCUCUGAACUUUUAGGACAUACAGGUGUUACAUGGGAUCCAAAUACCAACAAAGUUAAUGCUCCAGAGGAAGUUUGGCAACACUUUUAUACGAUUAACAAGUCCGAGUACAAAAUAUUCAAGAAGGAAGGAUGUAAGCACUAUGAAACUCUUGGUGAGAUAUUUAGCGGGACUACAGCUACUGGAGAAUUAGGAAAUGCUUCCACUCAGCUUCCUCCAACAUCAGAGGAAGAAAGGCAGUUAGAAGAUGAUUUUUUGAACAGAGGAAUUCAUGUACGUGUGGAGAAUGCUGAUGAAGUUACAAAUAUUCGUUGGUGUGAAGAAAUUGGUGAAUCUAGCGAACGUCGACGUAAGGAACCUAAGAUCAAUAAAACUGAUAAAUUUGAUGCUUGCAUGCCACAGUGGUCAUCUACAGUUAGUAUGACGAACGAAGAAAUUGAACUUAGGACACUUUACCUAAAAGAAAAGCUUGCAAAGCUCCAAGGAAAAUCAUGUAAUCAAUCAGAUAGUAAAGCUACUAGUCUGGAUCCUUAUUCAAAUGUGGUUUGCAUGGACCUCUUAAACAAUAUGGAAGAAGUUUCUAAUGAGAUUUAUAUGAAAGCGAUAAAGGCUUUUAAGGAUCCAGAUUUUAGAGUGUCAUUUGUGAAGAUGCCAGAAAUUAGAAGACGACCUAUCUUGGAACUUCUUUGAUUUGGUUAGUUGAUUGCGUAUUUUCUAAUAUCGUGUUUUUUUCAUUGGUGAUGUUGUAGCUCGAAGUACUGUGUUUUCUUACAUUAACUUCAAGUACUAUUUUAUCUUCAUAGUUUGAUGUUGAUGGUUGUAGAACUGAGUUCCAAGUGGAAUUGUUUGAUGUUGAAUUUAUUUAGAAUUAAAUGCUUGUUUUAUUUUGGGGGAUUUAAUGAUGUUUAAUUGCUUUGUUGCCAUCUUAGUUGAUGUUGAAUUAUUUCUUUACGUUGAUUAUAAUAAAUGAUGAAUGAUAUGAUUACUGAUGAUGAUUAUGAAUAUAUUUAUAUACAGGAUGUCAACUGAAUCAAAUGUGGUUGGUAAUAUGCGUACCAAUGAUUCGAGUGAUGAUGAUUUUUUAUUUACGGAUGAUAUUGUUGCGAAUUUUGGGGAUAUAAUAAUGAUUAAUUGCUUUGUUGCCAACAAAAGUGAUGUCAUUAGCAGGGUACCUUGUAGAACGUCAUUACUUACGAGGAAAAUGUACAUAUUAGAGAUUCUAAAUGGACACCCAUACGUGUGUUAUCGUAAUUUUUGUAUGCAAAAACAUGUGUUCAUGAAUUUUUGUGAUACUUUGAAACAGAAGCAGUUGUUGAAAGAUGGAAAAAAAGUAAGCGUCGAGAAGGGCGUUGCUAUGUUUCUAAUGAUUGUAGGGCACACUACACGAUAUAGUAUUAUUGGUGAUACGUUUCAACAUUCCAACAACAUGAUACACAAAUGGUUUAAAUGAGUAUUACUGGCUGUUUGUUCACUUGGCACAGAGAUAAUAUGUCUGGCACAUCAAAAUAUGCCACAUGAGCGGAUUUUGCACAAAUUUCCCUACUUUAAGGAUUGUAUAGGCGCAAUAGAUGGAACACAUGUUGCAGCUUGGGCACCUACAUCGAGACAAACAUAUUUCCGUGGAAAGAAAAUCAAUAUAACACAAAAUGUGAUGUUGACGUGUGAUUUUGAUAUGAAGUUCACAUUUGUGUAUUCUGGAUGGGAAUGUACUACUAAUGAUUCACGAGUAUUCAUUAAUGCAGUCAUAAGAACUUCAAACAACUUUCCAAUGCCAUGUGGAGAUCAAUUUUACGUUGUUGAUUCUGGUUAUCCAAACAUGCCUAGUUUUCUUGCCCCUUAUCGAGGACGAAGAUAUCAUCUGCGUGAUUAUGUUGGACGAGGAAGACCGCGUGGAAAGGAAGAACUGUUCAACUAUAGACAUUCCUCGUAUCGUAACAUUAUUGAACGUUGCAUUGGAGUUUUAAAGACAAGACUUCCUAUUUUAAAAUUAAUUACCAAUUAUCCAUUUAGUAGGCAAAGACGAAUCCCUACUGCAUGUUGUGCACUACAUAACUAUAUUCGCCAGGAACACGUUUUAGAUAGCUUGUUCGCUGAGUUUUCAUCAGAUAAUAUGGUAUUUCAAGAUAUGUCGGAGUCAAGUCAAGAUUAAGAAGCCAUACAAUUUUAUGCUAG